GACGAACGCUGGCGGCGUGCUUAACACAUGCAAGUCGAACGGAAAGGCCCUGCUUUUGUGGGGUGCUCGAGUGGCGAACGGGUGAGUAACACGUGAGUAACCUGCCCUUGACUUUGGGAUAACCUCAGGAAACUGGGGCUAAUACCGGAUAGGAGCUCCUGCUGCAUGGUGGGGGUUGGAAAGUUUCGGCGGUUGGGGAUGGACUCGCGGCUUAUCAGCUUGUUGGUGGGGUAGUGGCUUACCAAGGCUUUGACGGGUAGCCGGCCUGAGAGGGUGAACGGCCACAUUGGGACUGAGAUACGGCCCAGACUCCUACGGGAGGCAGCAGUGGGGAAUAUUGCACAAUGGGCGGAAGCCUGAUGCAGCAACGCCGCGUGCGGGAUGACGGCCUUCGGGUUGUAAACCGCUUUCGCCUGUGACGAAGCGUGAGUGACGGUAAUGGGUAAAGAAGCACCGGCUAGCUACGUGCCAGCAGCCGCGGUGAUACGUAGGGUGCGAGCGUUGUCCGGAUUUAUUGGGCGUAAAGGGCUCGUAGGUGGUUGAUCGCGUCGGAAGUGUAAUCUUGGGGCUUAACCCUGAGCGUGCUUUCGAUACGGGUUGACUUGAGGAAGGUAGGGGAGAAUGGAAUUCCUGGUGGAGCGGUGGAAUGCGCAGAUAUCAGGAGGAACACCAGUGGCGAAGGCGGUUCUCUGGGCCUUUCCUGACGCUGAGGAGCGAAAGCGUGGGGAGCGAACAGGCUUAGAUACCCUGGUAGUCCACGCUGUAAACGGUGGGUACUAGGUGUGGGGUCCAUUCCACGGGUUCCGUGCCGUAGCUAACGCUUUAAGUACCCCGCCUGGGGAGUACGGCCGCAAGGCUAAAACUCAAAGGAAUUGACGGGGCCCCGCACAAGCGGCGGAGCAUGCGGAUUAAUUCGAUGCAACGCGUAGAACCUUACCUGGGUUUGACAUGGAUCGGGAGUGCUCAGAGAUGGGUGUGCCUCUUUUGGGGUCGGUUCACAGGUGGUGCAUGCCUGUCGUCAGCUCGUGUCGUGAGAUGUUGGGUUAAGUCCCGCAACGAGCGCAACCCUUGUUCACUGUUGCCAGCACGUUAUGGUGGGGACUCAGUGGAGACCGCCGGGGUCAACUCGGAGGAAGGUGGGGAUGACGUCAAGUCAUCAUGCCCCUUAUGUCCAGGGCUUCACGCAUGCUACAAUGGCUGGUACAGAGAGUGGCGAGCCUGUGAGGGUGAGCGAAUCUCGGAAAGCCGGUCUCAGUUCGGAUUGGGGUCUGCAACUCGACCUCAUGAAGUCGGAGUCGCUAGUAAUCGCAGAUCAGCAACGCUGCGGUGAAUACGUUCCCGGGGCU
rnacentral:rRNA from 1 species